ACGGAACAUACCCACUGCAAAUUAACACGCAGUGUACGUGUGUAUAGAUAGGGACACGGCACACGAGCUGCCAAUUAUGUCGUGCUUUAGAGGAAACUGCAGAGAAAAAGUCACGAAGAGAAGGCUGCCUGGUGAGGUGUCUCGAGAUGUAAAUGGCUCCUGCUGAAAAGGUGCUUGAAACAAGACUUCAUUGCUGAGCUACAGGGAUUAAGGGAAGGGAUUUUAUUUGCCUGCUGCAGUUAGAUGCAGCGUCCUCAAGGACCCCAGAAUUUGCAUGGAAACAUGGAGGAGAGGAGAGAGGAAAUAACCUUUACAGAAAGAAAAUCAGUCAAAUCAUCUUUAUCAUUCAAACAAAAGAUGACAGGAAAUGAACAGGUGACUUCAAGGAUGAAAAAAAUACUCUUCUGCCAAUUCAAGAAAAGAUAAUGGAUGAGGUGUUACAGAACCUGUAGGUGAAUUUGAGUUUGCAUUAUAACCAUCUUUACGUAAGUCAGGUUAUUUAUAUCAUGUUUAAUAUAGCUGCCGUUUCAAUCACUGUUACUUUAACUUAUUUAUUUAAAAAUUAAUGAAUGGUUGCCUGCCAGCUGUAUCACAGCCACGCAGGCUGUCAUGCAAGAGAUCAGUCAUUCAAAAUCAAUGUGUGACAAAGCAUAAGAAGAAGAAGUAUCCCCACAAAUGCAAACAUUAUGAGGGAAGUGCUUUAUGUCUUGUAAGCCACAUCAUCAGCUGGCUGUCUGAACAGAGACAGUCACUUUUCUCUCCGUGUUUAUAAAUAGCAGUGCAAUGGAUGUGUUACGUUCUGUAAACUACCCCAAGAAAAUCGUUUUAAUUUUCCAUAACUCAUAUAUUCAUUUACAUGUGGUGAGAGAAUAAAAUGUUAGUAUUUGGAUUUAGAACCCAUAUUUUCCUGAUGGAAACAAUUAUGUUGAAAGAAAAGCAGCAGCAAAGCUGACUUCCAAAACCCUGGGUGACACCAGAAGUCACUGAGCUCCACCAAACACCAAAGCACUGACUUUUACCUCACUCUCUUGCUCAGGAAAAUCACUAGUUUAUUUUUGGUUUAAUACUGCUGGGGAGUAACCUUUCAGUCUGAAAAAAAAUAGGGAGAGAGAACAAGUAGACACAACCAGUCAGUGAGGAGGUGAUGUCAAAGGCAUGUUUUAAUUAGUGCAAGAUUAGCUGUGGCCAUGUUGGCCUAAGGCAA
rnacentral:lncRNA from 1 species